AGGGGCCUGAAAAAUAUAUUGUCAACACUCUCUAGAGGCUGUUCUUGAGUGACACGAAAAGGGAAGCUAAAUGAGAGUUUCUGUGCAUUAAUUAAGCUAUGUAAGAUCAUUUUAAACUCAGAAAUGGUGUGUGCAUGUGAUCACUUGAAGACUUACAAGUAACAGUGUUGUUAAGGCUUAAAAAGGUGCUAUCAAGGCUGCUAUGGGGUCCAAUUUUGUUCCAGAGGCUUGAGGUGAAAAAUAUAGGUUGAAGCAAGUUUAAAUAACCUAUUUGCAUCUGCAAAAAUUAGGUUGUGGAUAUAGAAGAACUGUCAAUGCUGAAGCCACAGGAUGAUUUGACUGAUUUACCCUUCUUAGGGUUUUGAAGCCUUGUAUGCUGAAAGUGUUGUGUACUUGUUAUCCAUUGUUCAAGAAUGAUUUGAGCAAGUCAGUUGAGCUUAUUCAAGGCUGUGGAACCUAGUGUGAGAUACAAGUGAAGCUGCAUUGUGAUUUUAUAGUUCAAUCCCUCUUGUUGCAGUGAAGAAAAAGUUAGGGUUUCUUACUAAGGGAACUUAAGGUUGUGUUCUACAUUCUGAUCUAGUGUUGAAGCUGAAGUAUAGUGUUCUUGGUGUAUUGACACCUUAUUGUAAAUGGUAGUGAGGAUUUGAUACCUCACCCCAUUGUUGAUAAAGCUAUUGAGAGCUUUAGGGUCCAAGCAAGGUUGCUUAGGAUUGGGGGAGUGCAUGCGUGCUUAUUCUUGUUGCUUGUGUGUGUGUAGAGGGAGUGAAAGUCAGUGUCCUAGCUAGUACAAGGUGUGUGGAAAGUGGGGCAACUGAGUGAGUAACCAUUUGCAUGCAGCAAGUGAAGAUGAAGAGCUAGUGUGUAUGUAAUGGGUGUGAAAGUCAAUGUUCUUACUUGUACAAAGAGUGUACUAAGAGUAACAUAGUUGAGUAUGUAACAACUUACAUCACCUAGUGGAACUUUUAUUGGUAGAGGCCAAGAACCAAGGUUUUUCCCUAUUGAGAGGGUUUCCUUGUGAA